rnacentral:rRNA from 1 species
GAUGAACGCUAGCGGCAGGCUUAAUACAUGCAAGUCGAGGGACAGCACAGGUAGCAAUACUGGGUGGUAACCGGCAAACGGGUGCGGAACACGUACACAACCUUCCUUUAAGUGGGGGAUAGCCCAGAGAAAUUUGGAUUAAUACCCCGUAAUAUAGUUGAAUGGCAUCAUUUGAUUAUUAUAGCUACGGCGCUUAAUGAUGGGUGUGCGGCUGAUUAGAUAGUUGGCGGGGUAACGGCCCACCAAGUCUACGAUCAGUAGCUGAUGGGAGAGAAUGAUCAGCCACACGGGAACUGAGACACGGGCCCGACUCCUACGGGAGGCAGCAGUAAGGAAUAUUGGUCAAUGGACGCAAGUCUGAACCAGCCAUGCCGCGUGAAGGAUUAAGGUCCUCUGGAUUGUAAACUUCUUUUAUUUGGGACGAAAAAGGGCCUUUCUAGGUCAACUGACGGUACCAGAUGAAUAAGCACCGGCUAACUCCGUGCCAGCCGCCGCAGUAACAC